rnacentral:rRNA from 1 species
AUUGAACGCUGGCGGCAGGCCUAACACAUGCAAGUCGAGCGGAGCGGCGGACGGGUGAGUAAUGCCUAGGAAUCUGCCUGGUAGUGGGGGAUAACGUCCGGAAACGGGCGCUAAUACUGCAUACUAUCAGAUGAGCCUAGGUCGGAUUAGCUAGUUGGUGGGGUAAAGGCCUACCAAGGCGACGAUCCGUAACUGGUCUGAGAGGAUGAUCAGUCACACUGGAACGGAGACACGGUCCAGCCUCCGACGGGAGUCAGCAGUGGGGAAUUUUGGACAAUGGGCUAAAGCCUGAUCCAGCCAUGCCGCGUGUAUGAAGAAGGUCUUCGGGUUGUAAGGCACUUUAAGCUGGGAGGCGUUACCAGCAGAAUAAGCACCGGCUAACUUCGUGCCAGCAGCCGCGGUAAUUC